rnacentral:rRNA from 1 species
AGCGAACGCUGGCGGCAGGCCUAACACAUGCAAGUCGAGCGCUCGUAGCAAUACGAGAGCGGCAGACGGGAGAGUAACACGUGGGAACGUACCCUUUGGUUCGGAACAACACAGGGAAACUUGUGCUAAUACCGAAUAAGCCCUUACGGGGAAAGAUUUAUCGCCGAAGGAUCGGCCCGCGUCUGAUUAGCUAGUUGGUGGGGUAAUGGCUCACCAAGGCGACGAUCAGUAGCGGUCUGAGAGGAUGACCAGCCUCAUUGGGACUGAGACACGGCCCAGACUCCUACGGGGGGCUGCAGUAACGAAUCUUCCGCAAUGUACGCAAGUAUGACGGAGCGACGCCGCGUGUAGGAUGAA